GCAACCCGGCUGCCUUCCCAGUCCCCGCCUCCUGCGGAUUCCUUCUGGGGUUUUGGGAAUGGCUGGCCCAGCCCACACCCUGCACCCAGCCCGCCUGGAAGCUCGGAAACCCAGAGGCUCCCACAAGCCGGUGCUGGGACCCUUCUCCAAGACCACCCGACACCGCGGCACACCCGGCCACCCUGGCAUCUGGGCGGGUGCUGGGUCACGCCAUCCGUUAAGGUCAUGGGAAGCCGGUCGGGAGGGUCUGAAAUGGGCUGAGAGGGCCCACCGCAGGGCCCGGGCCUCCCGUCCCGUCUUCCUAAGGCCACGGCGAGGGAAGUGCCAAGGACCAAGGGCUCCCAGACGAGGCCCAUGGGGCGCCCGCAGCCGCCUUCCGAGGCGGAGGCCGCAAGCCCCCGUUUUCAAGACAAAGCUGAGGCCUUGCAAUAAGAAUAUGAGGCUGGAGACGUGAAAUCACUUGCCCUGGAUCAACACGGCCCCAAAUCAAAGACGACUCGGUCUGAACUCGGACUUUGGGCCCCAGGGCCAGUGCUCUUCCGAACACAGGUGCCACGGCACGCAGCGGGCAUGGGAACAGCAGCAGGGAGUGCCGCUGCUACUGUUACCGCCAUCACCACGCCCACGGCUGCUUAGAGACUCUGUGGCCCAAAGGCGGGGGCCGUUUCACGUGGCCUCAUCUUUUAGAGCCCCCAGACCUGGGCCAUAUCCCUGCUAGGGAGGCAGGAGUCAAUAGGCUCAAAGACCAGAAUUGGAAAAGAAGAUGUGGUUUAAAACUGCCAGACAGCAGAGCAGGCUCCCAAGCAGCUCUGGUGAAUUUCAUCAACUUUUUACUUUUCCUAUUGUUUGCUAACAUCUCCGCCAACAGGUACAUCCCUUAAAGCACACAAGCUGCAACAAAGCGCUUCUAUGAACAAAUGGAUGCGGUGGCUGGAGCUCGCAGGAGGCAACACAGGGGGCGCACCCUUCCCUCCUCCCGGCCACCGCCACUGAGGCAGGAACGUGGGAACGUGGUCUCAGCCGGCGAGGAACUGCAGAGCCUGAAUCCGGAAUUUAGAAACACAGAGGCAAACACACAUAAGGGAAAAGAAAGAAGGCUUCACUGAUUGCAUCAUAACAUGAGCAUAUUUGCAAAAUAAACAGUUAUCAUCAUUUGCAAAUUAUUGUGGCUGUAAAAACUGCUCUGCCCUCAAGGAGGUUGAUACAAACCAAUAAAUUCUGCCCUUUGUUAUCUUGGUGAGAUAAUUUUUUUUUAAGUUUAUGGCUACUCUACGUAUUUUACCUGCUGCAUUUUUUUGUUGGUGGAGUUUGGAUUUAAAUGUAUUUUUAGAGCAUCCUAAAUACAAAUAAUCUGAUUUUUCAUAAAGGCCUCAAAAUAAUAUGUAACUCAACAUAGAACCGUUAGAGAUUUAACACCUUCCCUAUAGAGAUUAGUAAGAUAUUAAAAUUAUUAAGAUGUUAAAAUUAAAAGAUAGUCAAAACCACAGCCACGAGUCUGAAUUUAAAUCUUGUUUUCCACUGCUGAUGCUGCAGCAGAAGAGAAAAAUUGGUCAUUAAUUAAAACAUUGAUGGGCCUUUGACAUAGGGCAUGUGGGGUCUUAAAAGAUACAGACCAAAAAUUAAAUUAAAGUUUAACGAAGGUGGUGAUUGCCCCUCUGGCGAAUUUUCCAAGGGAUGAGAAGAUCAUUGAAUAAGUCUGUUUCUAUACACAAAUGCAACUUGUUUAUUUUGACCCCAGUUCUUCGAAAUUGUCGACUCCACAAUUGAAAUAUGCUGUGUGUUCCAACAAGUACCCAGCAGCCGUAAUGACAGACCAGCCCAUCUGUGCUGCGAGAAUGUAUAAUUUCAGUCUAUAGUGGAAUUUAUAUAGAAGCGAUGAUGUGAAAAGUGCUUUGCGUGGUACUUUCUUCAAAAAAAAAAAAAAAAAAUACUGCCGAGAAGCACUGGGUGCCAUGGAGAAUGCUGAGAUUUUGGCCUGAUUUUUUUAAAAAGCAGAAUCCGUAGCAUAUUACUGAUUUUGAGGGUGGUGGGGGAGGGUCGAAUGUUAUCCAAGUUAAAAAACUAAGAUGCUAGUUGAUCACAUACAACGGUCCCAGGUACCGAAGGUGUACGUGGGACAGUGAAUUUUUCAUGCAUGUUAAAAACACUAGAUAAAUUUAAUUGCAAUGGCAAUACUAAUUUAGAAUGAAAAUGUUCCUUUAUGUGAAUUAACUGAUUUUUCUGCUACUUGCCCCUAUCUUGUCCAA